rnacentral:rRNA from 1 species
UACGUAGGGUGCAAGCGUUAAUCGGAAUUACUGGGCGUAAAGCGUGCGCAGGCGGUUUUGUAAGACAGAUGUGAAAUGCCCGGGCUUAACCUGGGAACUGCAUUUGUGACUGCAAGGCUAGAGUGUGUCAGAGGGGGGGUAGAAUUCCACGUGUAGCAGUGAAAUGCGUAGAUAUGUGGAGGAAUACCGAUGGCGAAGGCAGCCCCCCUGGGAUAACACUGACGCUCAUGCA